GUCUACGGCCAUGCCGCCCUAAACAUGCCUGAUUUCGUCUGAUCUCAGAAGCUAAGCAGGGUUGGGCCUGGUUAGUACUUGGAUGGAAGACCACUUAGGAAGACCAGGUGCUGUAGGCU
rnacentral:rRNA from 1 species